UAUUUUCUAUUGUAAAUUAGAAAAUUGGGUUUCUGUAACCAGAGAAGUUCUUCUUCCAUUCCUAUCCGCAGGGCUUGGUAUGGUUGGAGCAGGGUUGGUUCUAGAGAGAGUGCAGUUCUGGAGGGUUUUUGUAGAUAUACCUCAACUCUUUAUCAUGGUCCCUGCUCUGAUUGGUUUGAAGGGAAACCUGGAAAUGACUUUAGCUUCCAGAUUAUCUACCCAUGCUAACCUGGGACACCUGGAUACAGUUUCUCAGACACUAGAGAUGGGCGGAGCAAACCUUGCUCUUAUCCAACUUCAGGGUGUUGUGGUUGGUGGCCUGGCUGCAGGUAUUGCAGUGCUAAUGUCUUAUCUUACAUCACACUCAAUCAUGGAGUUUAGUAGUUUACUGGUAAUGCUCUGUAGUAGUGUGAUAACAGCAUCCUUGGCCAGCCUUAGUCUCGGGAUAGUUAUGAUCAUCGUUAUAGCAGUUUCGAGAAGGUUCGGAGUAAAUCCUGACAAUGUAGCUACUCCAGUAGCUGCUGCUCUAGGAGAUCUGGUUACACUUGCUCUUCUUUCCCUGGUUUCCUCCCUUCUCCGGUCUGCAGGAUACACUCCACAGCUCAUUAUCCUCGUUCUUUAUAUUGUUAUAGCUGUAUACUGUUACAGGAUCGCAGAUUUGAACAAGGAUACCAGGAAUAUUCUCCGAGAGGGUUGGACUCCAGUUCUCUGCGCUAUGCUCAUCUCAAGUCUAGGUGGAACUAUACUAAAUCGUGUAAUCUCCAGGUUCCCAAACAUUGCUCUUUUCCAACCUGUCAUUAAUGGCGUUGCUGGAAACCUAGUUGGAAUCCAAGCGUCCAGAAUCUCUACCGAGCUCCAUAAGCACAGCACACUUGGAACUUUACCAAACGAAGUUUCUUCGUGUAAUCUGCUAAACCCUCUGUAUACCUACCAUGCAGGGACUUGUGAUAAAUCAAGAAUAUUGACCGCUAAUUCAGUAGCUGCUCGGGUUCUGCUUUUCUUAGUUCUUCCAGGUCAUUUAACGUUUAACCUGGCUAUUGGAUUGUCACAAGGUUUCCAUAUCUUCUCUGUAUCCUUUCUUUUUCUGUACAUGGUCGCAGUUUUAUUUCAGGUUUGUUUCCUGCUUUACAUUGUUAAUAUUCUCGUGCACUUUCUUUGGCGAAGAGCUGUUGAUCCGGACAAUGCCGCAAUUCCAUAUCUCACUGCACUCGGAGAUUUACUUGGGGGGGCUCUUCUUGCAGUCGUCUUCAUUACACUAGACUUAAAUUAAAUAAAUAAAGCAAGAUUUUAUAUUCUAUUAAAUAACCAAAGACGUCCUUCUCUUUUACUUAAACCAGUGUUAUAGUUAUAAAUAUUAUUAAUUACUGACAUUGGAUAUGUAAAUUGUAGGAAAGUAUGAGUAAAGAUCGCACUAAACAUAAAACCUUUUAUUAUUUUUGUUGAAUUCCAUACAAUCAUAAUUCAAGAUUAACAAAAGCUAUUCGCAAACCUUACUAACACACUUCCUUCUAGUAAAGGUUCUGAAAUUUUACCCUCAUUUAGUUCUGAAGCAUUAGUAAUGUCUACCAUUUGAUCAAUUUUGAGAAAAAAACUAAAAAAAACUAACUAUUCUCUCAUGUACUUGAAGGCUGUGUGAAAUCUUAUCUUCAAACAUAAAAUAACCACAGUACAAUUCGUAAUAUGUCUUGAAACUUGCUGAAACCUUUUCUUCCGAACUACAACCCAUAGUGCCUUGUUGUAAACAUUACAAUUACGCUUAUGUUAACCAAUAAUAUUUGAUGUUGUAUCCUUUUUAGACCUUAUGCUUUUGCUCAAUGAAAUAAACCCAUGAAAUAUAUA
rnacentral:misc_RNA from 1 species